rnacentral:rRNA from 1 species
UACGUAGGGUGCAAGCGUUAAUCGGAAUUACUGGGCGUAAAGCGUGCGCAGGCGGUUUUGUAAGUCUGUCGUGAAAUCCCCGGGCUCAACCUGGGAAUUGCGAUGGAGACUGCCAGGCUAGAAUCUGGCAGAGGGGGGUAGAAUUCCACGUGUAGCAGUGAAAUGCGUAGAGAUGUGGAGGAACACCGAUGGCGAAGGCAGCCCCCUGGGUCAAGAUUGACGCUCAUGCACGAAAGCGUGGGGAGCAAACAGG